rnacentral:misc_RNA from 1 species
AUGAUCAAAGUAAACCUGAUCUAUCCAAUAAUCCUUUGCUGUUGCCUGGCGGCUGUGCCGCAGGUGCGAGCAAAGCAUCUGCUCGAAUUUAUCGCCGAAAGUGCGAAUAAUGAAAUUGAAAAACAAGUCGAAACUUAUGAUUUUUCCUCCUGCCAAAUAUAUUGCUAUGGACCUCUGUUGCAUACGGUACAGAUGGCGAAACUGUUUCCCGACUCGAAGACCUUUGUAGACAUGAAACUGAAGGCUUCGCCUGAGAAGACAAUGGAGUUAUUUGAGGCAUUUAUGGCUUCCACGAAUAAUACACCCACUAACGAUCAGAUACGGAAAUUUGUUGAUGAUAAUUUUGGAGCAAAGGGCACCGAGCUGGAGGUGUGGACACCUACAGAUUGGGUCGAACAUCCAGCGUUUUUGGAUCUUGUGAACGAUCCGGAUCUGAAGCAAUGGGGCGUCGAUCUAAACAACAUCUGGAAGGAGCUCGGACGUAAGAUGAAGGACGAUGUGCACAAGAAUCCGGAAUAUUACUCCAUUAUACCCGUGCCCAAUCCGGUCAUUAUUCCCGGCGGCCGCUUUAUCGAGUUCUACUACUGGGACUCUUACUGGAUCAUUCGAGGCCUGUUGUACAGCGAGAUGAGGGAUACGGCCCGUGGCAUGAUCGAGAACUUCAUGUCGAUUGUACAGCGCAUUGGAUUCAUACCGAACGGUGGUCGCGUCUACUACUGGGGUCGCUCCCAGCCGCCGCUACUGGCGGGCAUGGUCAAGUCCUAUGUGGACUUCACCAAGGACGAUCGCUUUGCCAUCAAUGCACUGGAUGUGCUGGAGCAUGAAUUCGAAUACUUCAUCAACAAUCACAGCGUACAGGCCAAAGGCUAUAAUCUAGCUGUGUACAGGGACUCGUCGAAGGGACCCCGUCCCGAAUCCUACAGUGAGGACAUAGAGACAGCUGCUACCUUCAACACCGACGAGGAUAAGGAAAACCACUAUAGUGAGUUGAAGUCGGCUGCUGAAUCGGGCAUGGACUUCAGCUCCCGCUGGUACAUCAACGAGGAGGGCACAAAUGUUGGAAAUCUCUCAGUUACGAAGACCCGUUCCAUUGUUCCAGUCGACCUGAAUUCGAUUCUCUACUGGAACGCCAAAAUUAUUGCAGAAUUCCAUGCCAAGGCGGGCAACGUGGACAAGAUGACAGAGUAUGAGACCAAGGCGCAGAAAAUCAAGGAGGCUAUUCAGGCUGUCCUGUGGAACGAGGAGGCCGGCUGCUGGCUGGACUAUGAUUUGAUCAACGAGAAGCCACGCGACUACUUCGUGACCUCCAAUCUAGCCCCGUUGUGGGUCAAGGCUUACAAUAUUUCCGACACCGACAAGAUAUCCGCAUCGGUGCUGAACUAUAUUGAAAAGAACAAACUGGACACAUUCCCAGGCGGCAUACCAAACACGCUCUAUCAGACUGGAGAGCAGUGGGACUUCCCCAAUGUGUGGGCGCCUCUGCAGUAUAUUAUCAUCGAGGGUCUGGACAAUUUGGGCACUCCCGAUGCCAAGCAGCUGUCGAAGAGGUGGGGUCAUCGCUGGGUGAAAUCCAAUUUUGCAGCAUAUCGCGAUUCGCGUGCCAUGUUCGAAAAGUACGAUGCGGAAAAGUUUGGCGGACAUGGCGGCGGUGGUGAAUACGGCGUACAGAAGGGCUUUGGCUGGACCAAUGGCGUCAUCAUCGAGUGGCUAGCGAAAUACGGACACGAGAUUUCGCUGAGCAACACGGGCGCUGCAGGUGAAAACGCGAACUAGAGCAACAACUCUGACCACGCCCCGAGCGAUUGCUAAGGGCAAUUGCUAAACGUUAAACAUUAUUUGAAACCAUGAACCAAGCAUCGACAUUGUCCUCGUCUCAGUUGUUACAACUGUUGCAGGCAUACUUUUAGUUUUAGAUUGAAGCUCUCAGAGAUGCUCAAAUAGUUGAUAAUUCACAUAUAUAAUUAAUAUCUGUUAUUCAGAGAGACUCGAGUAUCAUCGACCAUUGUCCAUCAAUAGGCUAAGCUCUAUUUCUCUCUCUCUCUCUCUCGCUCACUCACUGUCACUCUCUUUCUGUGUGUCUAAACCUAAUGUCUGUAUCGGAACAAUCAACGUCUGCAACGAGCACAAAGCACAAUCUCCACCCAGAGAGAAUUAGGAAUUGAUGAUCAGAUCCAGCCAGAACAACAUGAGAGAUUACACACAUCUGCUCCACACACACACACAUACACACACACACUCUAUCUCUAUCUCUCUCCCACUAUUUCUACCUAAAUAUAUAUUAUAUAUCGCUUUUCAUUUGUCUUCAACUUUGCCUUCGCCCUCGUCUCGUCUCGCCUCGACUCGCAUCUAUAUAUCUGUCGUUCUGUCGUUUAACGCCAAAACUUUUUACGUCCCAGCAGUCGAUUCCUCAGCUUAUUAGGCGUAACAGCUGUGGCGUUAAUAGGUGCCUUUGCCGGUCAUCUCAUCUGGUGAG